rnacentral:lncRNA from 1 species
AAUUCCGUUAACGAAUGAGACCUCAGCCUGCUAAGUAGCUAUGUGGAGGUAACCCACCACAACUAGCUUCUUAGAGGGACUAUGGUCGCUUAGGCCCCGAAAGUUUGAGGCAAUAAUAGGUAUGUGAUGCCCUUAGAUGUUCUGGGCCGCACGCGCGCUACGCUGAUGUAUUCAACUAUAGCCUUGGCCGAGAGGCCCGGGUAAUCUUUGAAAUUUCAUCGUGAUGGGGAUAGAUCAUUGAAAUUGUUGGUCUUCAACGAGGAAUUCCUAGUAAGUGCGAGUCAUCAGCUCGCGUUGACCACGUCCCUGCCCUUUUUACACACAGCCCGUCGCUCCUACCGAUUGAAUGAUCCGGUGAAGUGUUCAGAUUGCGGUGACGUGGGUGGUUCUCUGUCAGCGAUGUUGUGGGUCGUCCAUUGAAUAUUACCAUUUACAGGAAGGAGAAUUUGUAACAAGGUUUCCUUAGGUGAACAUGUGGAAGGAUCAUUGUCGAAGUCUCACAAGCAGUGCGACUACGUGAAUCUGUUUUACUCCUCAGGGGUGGCUAGAUGUGUUUGGAACCUAGGUCCCCCUCGUGUCAGGAGACGCCACACCGUAGGUGAACAAAACCCUUGCGCGGAACGCACCAAGGAAAUUGAAUCGUUUAGUUCGCCCCCAUCGGCUCGCAGACGGUGCUCCUACGGGCGGCAUUGUCACAAGCGUAUCCUAAAGACUCUCGGCAACGGAUAUCUCGGCUCUUGCAUCAAUGAAGAACCUAGAGAAAUGCGAUACUUGGUGUGAAUUGCGGUAUCCUAUGAACCAUCGAGUCUUUGAAUGCAAGUUGCCCCCGAUGCCAUUAGGCCGAGGGCACGCCUGCCUGGGUUUUUCACAUCGUUGCCCCGUUCCUUGUCCACAUGCUAGGCACCAAGCAAGGUGAAUGUUGGCUUCCCGUGAGCUAUGUCUCAUGGUUGGUUGAAAACUGAGUCCGUGGUGGAGGGCACUAUGAUGGAUGGUGGCUGAGCUAAAGCUCGAGACCGAUCAUGCGUGUCACCCCCACCAGCUUUGUGACUCUUUGACCCAUGGGGGUCUGUUGGCCUCCUAAUACGGAAAAUAAGGUCAGGCGGGGCUACCCGCUGAGUUUAAGCAUAUCAAUAAGCGGAUGAAAAGAAGCUAACAAGGAUUCCCUUAGUAACAGCGAGCAAACCGGGAAAAUCUCACCAUGAGAAUCGGUCGCCCUCGGUGUCUGAAUUGUAGUCUGGAGAAGCGUCCUCAGCGGCGGACCAGGCCCAAGUCCCCUGGAAGGGGGCGCCGGAGAGGGUGAUGAAAGUGAAGUGCACCAUUGGAGAUUGAUUUAUGUUUUGAUGAAGACACACAUGAAGAGAAGCUUGAAGAUCAUUCAAUAUACAACAUGCCAAGGACUCAAGUGGUGACGUAUUAGACAGUGGUUAUAAUUCUUUAUUAUCUUUUUAGAAGUCUAAGAUGUUUGCCAUAGAUAUUGAGUCUAGGUUAGGUAAAACUUUUACUAAUGAUGAUUUGUCUAACAAAGUUUUGCAGUGUCUUGAAAGGAGAUGGCAACCAAAGGUAACCGUGAUAAUGGAAUCAAAGAACAUAGACAACAUGCCAUUAGCUAUUGUAUUUGGGAAACUCCAAGAACAUGAAAUGGAGUUAGGGCGCUUGAGACUGAAUGAAGAGUAAGACAAGAACGAAAUCGCACUCAAGGCUACAACAUUUAAAGAAGAACAAGAAAGUAAGGAUUCCAGUUCAGAUUCUGAUUCUGAUGAAGACUUGAAUCUCCUAUUUGAAAAAUUAAAAAGGUAUAUCAAGAAGAAAGGAGGGAUCAAGAAUCUCAAGAAAGAAGCCAAGAAAUCGACCAAGAGAAGCAAGAUUCCCAAAGAAGGCUUCACUUGCUAUGAGUGUGGAAAAUCAGGCCACAUGAAGCAUCAGAAGUGCACAUCUAGUGAUGAAACUCUCUAAUGUCCAAGUCAAAAGGAGCAUACAUUGUUUGGGAUGAUUACGAGAAAGAUUCGACUUCAAGCUCAUCCAAAGAGGAGGAAAAUACAAAGGUAUGCCUUAUGGCACAAGUGCAUGAGAAGUGCACAUCUAGUGAUGAAGAUGAUUCUAUUGAGGUAUAGUCGUAUACUUCAUCAUUCUCUAAUGACUCUCCUCCAUACGAUGAAUUAUAUGCAGCUUAUGUCGAAAUGCAUGAGGAAUUAAAGAAAAUUAUUAAAUUAAAUAUUGAUAGAAAAAGAGUUAUCUCCUAGCAUGAAAAUAGAAUAAUUGAAAUUCAAAAUGAAUUAGAUGAACUUAAACUUGAAAAUGAAACUCUUGAUCUUAUCUAUGCAUGUGCCUCAUGUGAUUGCUCUACUUCUAAAUUAUGUCAACCAACUAUAUGUGAUACUUGUGAGAGUUUAAAUGCUGAAAAUUCUAUUUUGAAACAAAAAACUUUCAAAGCUCACAUAUAGUCAAGAAAACCUUAACACAUUGCUUACUAAUACAAGAAAUGUUGGUAAAUGAUCUAGAAUUGGAUAUAAACCUGAACCUAAGAAAAUACCAUAUAGAAAUGUAGUACUUCUUAUGCAUAAGAAGUCAAAUAAUAACAUGACUACUUGUUUCUAUUGUGGUACACAUGGUCACACAUGAACUACAUGCUUUAUUAGAAAAUUUGGAGUGCCAAGUGGCAAAUAUAUUUGGGUAAAGAAGGGGAAAGAUCCCUUAGUUACUAACAAGAAGGGACCCAAAAUAACGUGGGUACCCGAAAGAGACAAGUGAAUUGUGUUUGUAAGUGUGCCAAAGGACAUUUGAGCGUCAAGGGAUAAAUCAACAAAACAUGUUCUCGGCACAAGGUUGGUGAGUAGACCAAGGUAAGUUUGACCUAUCACCAAAAGGUAAGUAAGUUAAGUCUAUUAACAAGGUUACAGAAUUAAUUCUGGAUAUUGAGUACACUUGAACUAAAAAGUAUAUGUUAUUGUUAUACUAAAUUCAUAAUAUGUGAUAUCAUAGUAAAUGCUAUGAAAUGCUUUAAAAUACUUUAACUAGUGGCAUUAUGACAUGCACAUCUGUAUCAAAGCAAAAUUUUGUUUGAAAGUGCCAUGUCUAUUGUAUUCUUGAUACCAUGCUAAGUGAGUAUAUGCUAAGUUGCAUGUAAAUCUCUAAAUUGUACAUAUUGUCAUUAAAUGCAUGUAUGCUGAAUUGUUAUAUGUUUUCAUGCAUUCUGGCUUUAGAAAGUUUGUACAAAUCUGGAUUAGAUAGAGUUAUAGGUUGUAUCCCUUAGCAUGUCUUAGUAAGCUUAAAAUUAUGCUUAAAACUGUCAACUUUCUGUCAUUAAUCGAUUAACCCUCAGUAUAAUCGAUUAAAUGAGUUCCAGUAGCUCAAGCUUUUUGGAAAAAAAUCAUUUUAAUCAAUUAAAUUUUUUGUUAAUUGAUUACCUAGGCUCAAUUGUUUUUCAGAAAUUCAUUUUUUGUUGGUUUGUUGCUUACGUUUAUAUUUUUGAGUCAAGUACAUUUCAUGGUUAUGGACUUAUGGUUGUACUUUCUUUUAGUACUUUGUAACUAUGUUGAACCUUGCCAAUUAUGUUAAAGGAAAUUUGUUUUUGCGUGAAUCUUGAACAUGUCUUAAUUGUGUAUUAUAAUUGAAUGAUUGAAAUAUCCUUUAAAAUGAAAAUCCCCAACAAGUGCUAACAAGUGGUGCUAACAAGUGACAUACAUAUAUGUUUAAUCAUUCCAUGCCUAGUCUGUUUAUAUAAUGGAUAUAUCAUGCAAAAUAUGUCUAUAUUCAGUUUUAGACUCAGAAAUUAGUGCAUUUGUUUAAGCUUCUCAAAAUGGUUAUUGAUUAUGCUAAUAAUUAAUCAAUCAAUUACAGUUUUUCAAAAUAAAUUGUUAUAUCUGUUCUUACUUUUGACUAUGUUAAUUAGUUGUUCUUUUUGAUAAUGUCAAAAGGGGGAGAAAGGUUGUUUGUUUGUUAUUGAUGUAUACAGGUUAGUAAGGAGAAAGGUUGUUGAGAAAGGUUGUCAAAUGAGCAUCCGUAUUAUGCUACUUACCAAGAGUACUUCUCUAAGUAACAAAAGGGGGAGAAGAUAAAGGGGAGAAUAAUGAAAGGGGAGCAGCGCACUUUGAAAGUCAAAUACACAACCUGAACCUAAUCUCUCAAUGUUGAUCAUAUGAUCAAGCUUUUCAUCAGACAAAGAUUUGGUAGAUUUGGUGUGGAGUCUGUCAUGGAGUUUGUCAUCACCAAAAAGAGGGAGAUUGAAAGUGAAGUGCACCAUUGGAGAUUGAUCUAUGUUUUGAUGAAGAUCAACAUGAAGACAAGCUUGAAGAUUAUUCAAUAUACAACAUGCCAAGGACUCAAGUGGUGACUUAUUAGACUUAGUUAUAAUUCUUUAAUAUCUUUUUAGAAGUCUAAGAUGUUUGCUAUAGAUAUUGAGUCUAGGUUAGGUAAACCUAGGUGUUAGUCUCACAAGACUUAAUAAAUUAAUUAAUCCACUAAAAUGAGACAUCAUCUAGAAAUAUAUGAUAAUUAGGUUCAUGCAUUUGAAUACAUUGAUUUUGUGCAUUAAAGGUAUUAUAUUUGGAAAUCAUGUAUUGCAUGAGCAUAUAUCAUAUAGGUAGUUCACCAUGCAUUAAUAAGUUGAUAUCACCAUGCAUUAACAAGCUAAUUUUACAUUGUUUAAUGGAUUAUGAAUUUUGUUUAUCCAUUAACUUAAUUGAUUAUGAAUAGUAUUAAUUGAUUAACAGAAUCAAAGUUUCAACAGAAAACUGAAAAACUGAAAACUGUUAUUUCCAACAACGCGUUAAUCGAUUAAAUGGGUACUUAAUCGAUUAACUAGGAAUUUAGACAGCUUUCUAUUUAAACUGAAAUCUCAGCAUAUGUGGCCUAAGAAUCCAUACAUUUUUACAUUAUUCUCUCUGCAUAUUUUCGAGUUACUCACUGUCAUAUCUAGGAGAAAAUAUUGCACGUGGCAUUAGGAGAAAGAUUAGAUCAUACUAAGGCUUUAAGUUUCAUAUUCACAUUGCAUGUUCUUUGAAAAGCUUUCUUGCAUCAUUCUUGUAUUUUCUUGAAAGAAAAGAGAUACUUUUUAAUGAUUACAUAAUUUCAUAAACCUCAUGCAUGUACAUUCAUAUUAAACUAGGAAGUCUUGUGAGUUCUUGCUUAGGUUUUAGUCUUUGAUCUUUAUUGUAAAAUCCGAGUAUUAAGUACUCAUUCAUAACUCAGAGCAUUGUAAUUCAAGGAUUAGGAAAAUCCUUGUUGCGGUUAGGUAAGGUGUUCUUCAUAGAGACUUGGAGGUCUUGGGAUAAAGAGUGAUACCUUGGCUGGGCCCGAAUCGCAUUAAGAAAGGUUUUCUUGGGAGGCGAUUUUAAGAAAGGUCAAACCAAGGGUGAUGAAGUUCUUUGGGUUCCAAGAAAGGACUGUUCGAGUCUUGUAAUUGGAAGUGUGUAUGUAACGAUACAUUGUGUUCUAUAGUGAAGACGAAAAUCUCCCAAGAUCAGAAGGGGAAGCAUGGAUGUAGUUUUGCAGUGGACCGCAAAACGAACCAGGAUAAAAUCCUUGCGCAAUCUUUUCUAUCCCUUUCUCUUUUACAUUUCAAGUUGUAAUGUUGCAUGAUAUAACAUGAUAAUUUGUAUACUGGUUUUUGUGCUAUAACUAGUCUAAUUCUGUGUAAAAAUAUUUGUUGUAUCAUUCCCUGAUUUCUCAUAACUUGUCGUGCAAAAGAGCUGUUAAACAUGAUUUUCUGCAUUCUAUUUUUUACUGUGUUUAAUCGAUUAUGAACAGUGCUUAAUCGAUUAACUGAACAUUUUUCAACAAGUGUGCAAAAACUCAAAAAGCGAAACUUGAGCUCCGCCACACCUAUUCAACCCCCUUUCUAGGUGUAUUCUGUCACUGAUACCUAACAAGUUAGAGCCCUAUUGUGCCUGGAUCCCGUCGCACCUCAAGGCACUGUCGGCGAGUCGGGUUGUUUGGGAAUGCAGCCCCAAUCGGGCGGUAAAUUUCGUACAAAGCUAAAUACUGGUGAGAGACCGAUAGUGAACAAGUACUGUGAGCAAAAGAUGAAAACGACUUUGAAAAGAGAGUCAAAGAGUGCUUGAAAUUGUCGCGAGGGAAGCGGAUGGGGGCCGAUGAUGUGCCUUAGUCGGAUGUGGAACACCAAUAGGGAACGUGAGGUGGGUUUAGACCAUCGUGAGACAGGUUAGUUUUACCCUACUGAUGACAGUGUCACAAUAGGAAUUGAACCUAGUACGAGAGGAACUGUUGAUUCGCACAAUUGUUCACCGCGCUUGGUUAAAAAGCUAGUAGCGUCAAGCUACCCUGUUUUGGACUAUAAUUGAACGCCUCUAAGUUAGAAUCCGGGCUAGAAGCGAUGUGUGUGCGCGUCGCCCACUUGCCGACCAACAAUAGGGGGCCUCGGCCCCUAGAGGCACGUGCCGUUGGUGACCCCCGCGGCAUGGACGAGCCUCACGGGACGCCUUUAAGCGCUAUUUUGCACUGGGCGGCGAGUAGAAUCCUUUGCAUGCGACUUAAAUACGCGAUGUGGUAUUGUAAGUUGCAGAGUAGCCUUGCUACCACGAUCCACUGAGAUUCAGACCUUAUCGCUUCCAUUCAUCCCUCCCAUCUCAAUCCUUUUUCUGAGCUAGGUCUUACACCCUAUGAGGGUUACGAACCCGCACCUCGUAUGGGCGACGAGGCGAGUAGGUGCAAAGUCCGCCUUCCGCAAGCACACGGUAGAGACAACGUCACUUACAAUAUGGAGUGCGGCAUCGCCUCUGGCCAUGCCCCAUGGUGCCUUGUGUGUGGUCCAUGGUGUCCGAUGGUUGGGGUGCUUUGUGUAUGGUGUGGUUCCUCGUGCGUGAUCCCGAGUGUAAGGUGAAAGAGAGGCCAUGACACAUGUGUUCAAGUGCUACUUGGUGAAGUUGAGGUCAUUACACAAUUUCCGAGUGCUAGGUGAAAAUGACACAUUCUGUGGCACACGUUCCGAGUGCUAGGUGAAAGUGACCCAUGCCAUGGCACAUCGUCCGAGUGCUUGGUGAAAGUGACCCAUGCGAUGACUCGUUCCUUGUGUGAGAUUCUUACUUCUCUCGCAUUCCCUAUUUCGGUGAAAGCAUCAUAAGACGCUGACCCCUUCGUGAAAUGCCUCCAUAUUUGGAGGGGAGCCCAAAAUUGUUUUGCCAUGGUUUCCACCUAAGUUUCACGUAAGAAUUCAACCCCUAUGCAAUGUUUCCCGUCAUGGCACCACCAUGUAUCCUGCAUUUCGGUGGAAAAGCAUUUGAGGUAAAUGCCUCAAUGUUACAUGGGUGUAACAUUGGGAAAUGUUUAGAAAUAAUCCUCCUAGUAUUCCUGUAAAAGAACAGCCUAAAAAACAUGGUACACACUCGUUAUCUAAUUUUCGAGAAUUAUGUAAAGCUCGCCGCUUAGAAAAAUUAUGAAAAAAUACCGGCUUGGAGAAAAUUCGUGAAACUUUGUGGACCACUAUCUCCCAUUCUUAUAAGCACGUGUGCAAAUAAUCAGGGCAAAAUGCGACUUCUAGCCUAAAAAGCCCAGUAUGUCUUCGUAGAAAAAAGGAUGUACGAUGGUGCAGAGUGGGCUGUUGCAUAUUAGCCUACUAUAGGGGGCCAAGCUGUCUGCCUGCCCAUGCACCAUGGUUGGACAGGAUGGCAUGCCAUGGCCCUCCCCUGAACACCCCAGGAAGGUAUCCCAGGCAUGCUGGUGCAUUUUUUCAUGGCGUUGUGGGCAAUUCGACCGAGUCAUCUUCCAUGCCAAAUCCUGGUCGCACACUGCCAAGUGCAGGCUGGUGGUUUGGCAUGGUGUUGUCCGGCACCUAGGACGUAUUGGGGAUGCAUCAAGGGCUAGGACUGUUCCUUGUGGACCAACUCGAAUUUCUUGAUGUGUAAGUCCCUCUUGUCGAGGUGCCUGCUUCGUCACACAGUGCCGAGUUGGGUAGUUGCGAGCAUCGCUCGGACAUUUUGAGGCUUCGAGUGUUGCAUGUUCUGCACAAAGGGCGCAAUUCCAGUCAUCCAGAAGUGUGUUGUGGGCAGGAUGGCAUGGUUUUAGUCACGGUGCGGUCGUUUAUGUCUCAUGCACCAAAGUGUCUUGUGUAGGCCUAUCCUACGAAGAAGUGUGUGGUGUUGAGGUGCUGGUUUGGUCACACGGUCCUGGUUGGGUAGUUGUGGGCUUGUGUCUGACUUGCCAAGGCUUCUAAUGUGUUCCAUUGUGCACGAAAGGAUGUGGUAUUGGGUGAAUCCCUUAGCGGCUAAUCCAAAGCACAAAAGAGAGCAAGUCCAAUCAUCCUAAGUAUGUUAUCGGCGGGUUUGCACGGUUGAGGUCAAGGUGCGGUCGUGUAUGACUCGAGCAAAGAACGCGGCAUGUGUAGGCUCAUCCCUCGGGAAAGCGCGAUUUGUUGACGUGCUAGUUUGGUUGCAGAAAGCUGAGUUGGUUAGUUGCAUUCGUCAUGCGGACAUUCUGAGGCUUCUAUUGUGACCCGUUCUGCACGGAAGGAUGUUGUGUUGGGGGAAGCCUUAAGGGGCACAGCCGCAGCACGAAGGGGUACAAGUCCAAUCGUCUAGAAGUGUGUUGUGGUUGGGUUUGCAUGUUUUGAAGUCUCGGUGGGGUCGUGUGUGACCCAAGCUAAAACGUGCGGUAUUUGGGCUCGUGCCUCGCUAAACUGUGGUUUGAUGAUGAUCUGGAUCGGUGACAUGGUGGCGAGGUAUGUACAUGUGGGCAUCCUGUGGACGUGCCCAGACUUCUCGUGUGACCCAUUGUGCACCGAAGGAUUAGGUGAUGCCUUCACGAAAGUACUUGAUUGACCCACCAUUGAAAAGCAACGGGGGGAUUUUGCCCCACAAUGUCUCGUUCGGUUUGUGAUCUGCCAUGGUUGGGAGAUUUAUGCAGGAUGCCUUGCAGUACCAUUCUCUACUUGGCGCUCCAAGAGUCUUAUUAGUGACUUAAAUAGCAGGGCAAAUCAGAACAAGAAGAGUCGACUUGUUGUUACGAUCCACUUUGAUUUUUCUCCAGUCGCCUUGUUUUUUGCCACCACCCUCCAACUUUUUAAGUUCUAGUUCGUACACCAAAUGAGGGUUGCGGAGCAGCAACUCGUGUGUAUGAUUAGUGGAAUUGGUGGAACGAAAAUCCACGAUGGGCACAUAGUCCCUUAUUCGAGUGGUAAGUGAAAUAGACCCGCGCCAUACAUACUUUCCGAGUGGUAGGUGAAAGUAACGGUACUUGUUCCUAGUGGUUGGUGAAAGUGACUCGUGCCUCACAUGAGAAUCUUGCUUCAGUCGCAUUCCCUAUUUCGGUGAAUGCAUCAUAAGACGUCAACACCUUCAUGAAAUGCCUCCAUAUUUGGAGUGGAACCCGAAAUUGUUUUGCCAUGGUUGCAUGCAAAGUCUCAAGUCGGAAUUCAACUCCUAUGCGAUGUUGCCCUUCAUGGCACCAUGGCGUGUGCUGCACUUCGGUGGAAAAUCAUUUGAGGUAAAUGUCUCGAUGUUACAUGGGCAUAACUUUGGGAAUAAUAUUCCAAGCAUUCCUACAGAAGAACAGCUCAAAAAACAUGGUACACACUCAUUUUCUAAUUUUCAAGAAUUAUGUAAUGCUCGCCAGUUAUAAAAACUACGUAAAAUUAUCAGCUUGGAAAAAAGUCGUGAACCUUCAUGACACUAGCUUCGAUUCUUAUAAGCAUGUGUGCAAACAAUCAGGGAAAAAUUCGACUUCUAGCCUAAAAAACCCGGUAUGUCUUCCCAGAGAAAAUGAUGCCUAGUGGUACAUAGUGGGUUUUUGCAUAUUAGCCUACUAUAGGGGGCAACUGCCUGCCUGCCCAUGCCCCUUGGUAGGUCAGGAUGGCUUUCCAUGGGGCUCCCCCCAACACCCUAGCAAGCUUCCCCAAGCAUGUUGGUGCGUUUGUCCAUGGUGAUGUGAGCAAUUCGACUGUGUGAUCUUCCAUGCCUAAUCCCGGUUGUACGUGGCCAGGUACAAGCUGGUCGUUUGGAAAAAUGUGUGCAUCAUGUUGAACAUAUCUGGCACCUAGGACUCAUUUCCGAUGCAUCAAGGGCUUGUCUUUUGCCUCGUGGUCUGACUCAAAAUUCUUGAAGUUUCUGUCUCACUUGUCGAAGUUCUGGUUAGGUGACUCGGUGAUGGGUUGGGUAGAUAUGCGUGGCAUGCGUGUCGAGGCUUCUAGUGUGACCCUUUCUACAGGGAAAGAUGUGCUUUUGGGUGAAGCCUUCAGGGGCAUAGCCGCAAGAUGAAGAGGCAUAAGUCCAAUCAUUUGGAAUGGUGUUGCGGGCUGGUUUGCACGGCUGAAGUCAAGGUGCAAUCGUCUGUGAUGCUAGCAACAAUGUGCCUCAGGUAGGCUUGUCCCACAGAAAUGUGUUAGAUGAAGGAGAAGUCGUAACAAGAUUUCCAUAGAUGAACCUGUGGAAGGAUCAUUGUCCAAGCCUCACAAACAGUGCGACCACGUGAAUAUGUUUUACUCCUCAGGGGUGGCUAGAGGUGUUUGGCACCUCGGUCCCCCUCAUGUCACGAGGUGCCAAACCCUCUACGUUGUCCAACUGGCCUAAUAAAAAAAUCCUAGCGCGAAACGCGCCAAAGAAAUUGAAAUCAUUUAGUUUGCCCUCGUCGGCCCAGAGACGGUGCUUGUGCGGGCAGUGUUGCAACAUGCUUAUCCUAAAGACUCUUUGCAAAGGAUAUCUUGACUCUUGCAUCGACGAAGAAUAUAGAGAAAUGCGAUACUUUGUGUGAAUUGUAGAAUUCCAUGAACCAUCGAUUCUUUGAAUGCAAGUUGCGCUCGAAGCCAUUAGGCCGAGGGCACGCCUGCCUGGGUGUUGCACAUUGUUUCCCCGUGCCUUGGCCAUAUUCUACGCACCAAGCGGGGCGAAUGUUGGUUUCCCGCGAGCAAUGUCUCACGGUUGGUUGAAAACUGAGUCUAUAGUGGAGGGUUCCGUGAUUGAUGGUGGCUGAGCUAUAGCUCGAGACCGAUCACGCGUGUAACCCCCACCAGCUUUGUGACUCUUUGACCAAUGGGGGUCUGUUGGCCUCCUAAUACGGGAACCUUAGGUGAGGCGGAGCUACUCGCUGAGUUUAAGCUUAUCAAUAAGCGGAGGAAAAGAAACUAAUAAUGAUUCCCUUAGUAAGAACGAGCGAACCUAAAAAUCCAACCAUGAGAAUUGAUCGCCCUCGGUGAUAGAAUUGUAGUCUAGAGAAGCAUCCAUAACGGUGGACCAGGCCCAAGUCCCCUGGAAGGGGGUGCCAGAGAGGGUGAGAGCUAGAAGUGAUGUGUGUGCCCGUCGCCCAUCUGAUGACCAGCAGUAGGGGGCCUCGGCCCCCUAGAGGCACGUGUCAUUGGUGACCCCCGCGGUGUGGACGAGCCUCGCGAGACGCCUUGAAGCGUUAUUCCUCACUGGGCGGUGGGUAGAAUUCUUUGCAGACGACUUAAAUACACGAGGAGGUAUUGUAAAUGGCAGAAUGGCCUUGCUGCGACGACCCACAAAGAUUCAGCCCAUGUCGCUUCGAUUCUUCCCUCCCAUCUCAAACCUUUUUCCCAUCUAGGUCGUACACCCUAAGAGGGUUACGAACCCGUACCUCGUAUGGGCAACAAGGCGAGUAGGUGCAAAGUACGCGUUCCGCAAGCACACGGUAGAGACAAAGUCACUUACAAUGUGGAAUGCGGCAUCGCCUCUGGCCGUGCCCCAUGGUGCCUUGUGUGUGGUUCAUGGUGUCUAGUGGUUGGGGUGAUUUGUGCAUGGUGUGGUUCCUCGUGCGUGCUCCCUAAUGCAAGGUGAAAGAGAGUCCAUGACACAUGUGUCCGGGUGUUACUAGGUGAAAUUGAGGCCAUUACACACUUUUUCCGAGUGUUAGGUGAAAGUGACUGAUAAGUGCCAAACAUACCUAAAUUUCAUACACAUUUAUGGCACUUAUCUUAAGCAUAAUUGAGAAAAACCAACUUAAAACAAUUCUUUUUGUUUAAAAUAUCACAAUCUGGUAUAUUUGUGUGUGUAUUUCUUUUUUAUGUAUUUUGUAGGAUUUAGAAAGAAGAAAAGAAGAGGAAAAAAAAGACUCAUGGUAAAAAAGAAAAAGAAGUCAAAAACCAAGGUGCUUAACCAGGCAGCUAAGCGUGGACCAAGCCACGCUAAGCUGACCUGGACACUAGCUUGACCUGGACACCAGCCUGACCUGGACCAAGCUGCUCAAGCAAGCAGUUGAGUUGACCUGCUUGGCCGCUUAGCCUAGCACCAGACUAGUCCUAGCACAGUUAGAACUCAGCUUGACACGGUCAGACACAAGCUUGGCACAUGCUCAAGCUGCUGUACAAGCAGCUUAGCCGUCCAAUCAAGAAGCUUAGCGGAGAACCAGACUCUUGACUAGAUCAGCAAGCACCAGGCCACGUCCCAAUUAGCACGGUCAAAGUUGCUGAACAAGCAGCUUAGCGGUGCAACAGGUGUGCUAAGUGGUGUGCACCCAGACUUGACUUAGUCAUCAAGCAAACCAUGAAGUCACCAAUGACCUCAGCUCAAGUAGCCCACUAUAGGCAUUUCAGAGUAGCUCACAAUAGCUGGUUUCAUAGCUCACAACUAGCUUUGAUGAGUCAAGCAUAAGGAGGUGACAAAGCUACUUGAUCAAGGGACCAAACCCAUGCUGAAGGGUUUGGUCAGCUGCUUAGCGGGGCUGACAAGUAGCUCAACAGCCCAGAAGAGUUUCUAUAAAUAGGGCACAUUCCAUUCGAGCAAGAGACAUCAAAUUCACAUUUUCACUCACAUUUUUCCUAGAAAUUCUUCUCUAAAGUUCUCUCUUCUUGUUCUUAGAUUAGGAACUUUAUUUAAGUAAGUUUUGUAAUUUUAGUUUAUAAUUCAAGAGGAGAAAAAAGAGAAGGCAAAUGAGAUGCAAAAAUCAAUUUUGUAAUCUCAUUUGGAACUCAAAGCAUCCAAUCCUUGGAUGGAUGGCCCAUGCUCGUAACAAUUUCUUUUUAAUAUGGUUAUGUAUUUCUACUUCUUCAUAUAAUCUAAAAUAUUUGAAUUUUAAUCAUUCAAGUUGGUGCUUUGAUUAAUUUUACUUGUUAGAGAAAUUCUUAAUGCUCAUUUUAGAUUGAUCACCUAAAAAUUGAUUUCAAGUCAUAAAAUUACUUGUCUCAAACACUUAACAAAUAAACUAAGAAGUAGUUGUACUACUUAAUUUAUUUUCCAAGUUAAGCAUGCUUUUAUUAAGAUCCUAUAUUCAUUACUACUUCAAUAUUAGAGUAGCCAAGAUUAGGGUGUGACAACCUAGUCUCUUUGUGGACAUAAUAUUGUUUAGUAAUAAAUAUAAGUGNGAGUUAAUCAAAGUAAAACAUAAGAACUUGUCUAAGUAGUUCAAAUUCAUAAGAAGUUGAGAAAUAUUUUCCUUAUUCAAAAUGAUCUUGUCUCCUCAAGAAUUUGUUAAUAUUUAGUUUAUGUUUAUUGUUAAUUGUUUAUAUGAAAUUCAAUUCAAAUCAAAACCAAAAUUUGUUUAACUCAUUAUUUCGGCAUUGACAUGUUCAUAUGAUUCAUCCUAUUAGACAAUUCAUUGUGGUUCUACAUAACCCUAUACUAUACUACAAUUGAAUCUUGAAAGAGGUGUAAAUUGUAAAAUAGUAAAGUGCUAUCAAUAAAUAUAUUUGGUGAAAACACCUUUUAAUAUACAAAAGUGAUGAAGCUAACUUACUAACUUUUAUUUAUUGUUAUUUACAUUCCACCAUUUAUUUAUUCUUUAAUACCAACCUUCCUCAAGGAAGAAGUUUGGUUUGUUAAUAAAAGGAACCCGAAAGGGAGUAAAUAAAUAAAGGUCACUUAAAUUUAUUAUUCUUUUGUUCUGUAUUUAUUUAUUUGUUCUAACAACUAACUAUUCAUCACUUUUUUACAUUAGAAUACCAUUAAACUGGUGUUGAAAUUUAUUCCACAAAACCGAGAUGGUAUUCAAAGGUACUUAAUAAUUAUGUAAUAGGGAUUGUUUCGAUACCAUUGUACCGGCGUUGGAAUUUAUUCUAACAAAACCGAGAUGGGGCAAAGAAGGAAUAACUUAUUCACAUGAUUAUUAAAAGUAAGUUGUAACUGGAAUAUUCUUGAAACCAUUAUACCGGUGUUGGAAUUUAUUUCAAUCAAGCCGAGAUGGCGAACAAAGAAUAAAACUGAGUUCACUUACUUAAUCAAAUAAAAAUAAAAGCACACCAAAAAGAGAGAAAUAACCUUUCAACAAAUUGGCACCUUGCGGGGGACGAUUUGUUGAGAGGGGAAAAAUAAAACCUCUCCGACAAAAUUUCUUUCAACAGUGACCCAUUCCAUGGCACACGUUCCGAGUGCUAGGUGAAAGUGACCCAUUCUGUGGCACACGUUCCGAGUGCUAGGUGAAAAUGACCCAUGCCAUGGCACAUGGUCCGAGUGCUUGGUGAAAGUGACCCAUGCCAUAACCCAUGCCUCACAUGAGAUUCUUGCUUUAGUCGCAUUCCCUAUUUCGGUGAAUGCAUCAUAAGACGCCGACCCCUUCAUGAAAUGCCUCCAAAUUUGGAGGAGAAUUCAGAGUUGUGUUGUCAUGGUUUCCUAAAAAGUCUCAAGUCGGAAUUCAGCAACUAGGCGAUGUUGCCCGUCAUGGCACCAUGGCGUGUGCCAUACUUUGGCGGAAAAUCAUUUGAGGUAAAUGCCUCGUUGUAACAUGGGCUUAACUUUGGGAAAUGUUGAGAAAUAAUAUUCCAAGAAUUCCUACAAAAGAAUAGCUCAAAAAACAUGGUACACACACAGUUUCUAUUUUUCGGGAAAUAUGUAAUGCUCGCCGCUUACAAAAAUUAUGAAAAAUUAUCGGCUUGGAGAAAAAUCGUGAAACGUCAUGGACCACUAGCUCCCAUUCUUAUAAGCACAUGUUAAACGAAUUAGGGCAAAAUUCGACCUCUAGCCUCAAAAAAACCAGCAUGUCUUCCUAGAGAAAAGGAUGUCCCGUGGUGGAGAGUGGGUUUUUGCAUAUUAGCCUACUAAAUGGGGGCAGCCGCCUGCCUGCCCAUGCACCUUGGUGGGUCAGGAUGGCUUGCCAUGGGGCUCCCCCCAACGCCCCAUCAAGCUUCCCCAAGCAUGUUGGUGCUUUGUCUAUGGCGAUGUGGGAAAUUCGACUGAGUCAUCUUCCAUACCGAAUCUCGAUCGUACGUGGCCAGGUGCAGGCUGGUAGUUCGGAAAAAUGUGUGUAUCGUGUUGAACCUAUCCGGCACCUAGAACUCGUUCACAAUGCAUCUAAGGCUUGGCUUUUGCCUCGCGGUCUGACUCGAAAUUCUUGAUGCGUCUGUCUCACUUAUCGAGGUUCCGGUUUGGUGACUCAGUGACGGGUUGGGUAGUUGCGGGUGGCGGGCGUGUCGAUGCUUCUAGUGUGACCCUUUUUGCAUGGAAGGAUGUGGUGUUAGGUGAAGCCUUCAGGGUCAUAGCCGCAACACGAAGGAGCACAACUCCAAUCAUCCAGAAGUCAAGGUGCAGUCGUCUGUGAUGCUAGCAACAAUGUGCCUCGGGUACGCUUAUCCCUCGGAAAUGUGUUGGCUGUUGAGGUGCUGGAUUGGUCCCACGGUGCGGAGUUAGUAGUUAUGGCAUCCCACGAACAUUUUGAGGCUUCUAGUGUGACCAGUCCUACACUAAAGGAUGUGGUGCUGGGUGAAGCCCUUAGGGGCAGAACUGCAACACGAAGAGGCGCAAGCCCAAUCAUCCGGAAGUAGUGUGUUUGCGACUGGUUUUCAUGGUUGAAGUCAAGGUGCAGUGGUGUAUGAUGCACGCAACAAUGCUGCACGAUGUAGACUUGUCCCACGGAAAUAUGUACGCACGUCGGGAAAUAUGUGCGCACCUAGGCGUAUCUAUUGUCUGUGAGACCCUUUUCACCAUGAAAGGACGUGGUGUUAGGUGAUUCCCUAAGGGCUGAGCCACACCACGUAGAAGGGUGAGCCUAUUCGUCGAAAGUGCAUUGUGAGAGGAUUUGGUAGUCGGAUAAAUUUUGAACCUUAGUCUCUAUCGAUCUUGGUGGUUACCUUUUCUAUUCGAGCCCGACGUAGCAGAUCCGGCGGCACCAUGUGUUUUCAUUUGCUUGCUUGCCUUUGGCAUUGCGGGGAGUGGUUCGUAUGGUACCGUCAAAUCUUUCUAACUUGAGGGCGCGUGAGUUGCAAUUGGGAUGUUUGUGUUGUAUGGCUCCAUGAUCAUGGUCAUCGAAUUUUCAGCACACAACCCUUCCCAUGUUCGCCUUGUGUCAUUUCCGCUCCGACAUUCAAUUAUAGUUCUUUUGUUGCCUACCCAUUAAGUGGUAUUCAUGCGCCUCUUAUGACCCGUUCCAUCCAGACCCCUUCUAGAGGUUGUUGGAAGAUUCGAAAGUGAUGCAUGUGAUGUGUUAGCUGUGAAUUCUGAUGGCUUGCAUUCUCACACGUGUCUAGUGUUCCCUUGGAUGUGGUGCAUGCGACAAACGCGGGCUGAUGAGUCUUCCCCGUUGAGUCCCUUUGAUUUAUCGGUUCCCUUGAAUAACAAUUUGUCGUGGUAUCAGUCUUGCUUAACCAUUUGCGGUGGAAACACUUGCACAUCGAGCAAAGUUGUUGAUGGAUGCUACCUGGUUGAUCCUACCAGUAGUCAUAUGCUUGUCUAAAAGAUUAAGCUAUGCAUGUGUAAGUAUGAACUAAUUCAGACUGUGAAACUGCGAAUGGCUCAUUAAAUCAAUUAUAGUUUGUUUGAUGGUAUCUACUACUCGGAUAAUCGUAGUAAUUCUAGAGCUAAUACGUGCAACAAAUCUCGACUUCUAGAAGGGAUGCAUUUAUUAGAUAAAAGGUCGACACAGGCUCUGCCUGUUGCUUUGAUGAUUUAUGAUAACUCGUCGAAUCGAACGGCCUUCGUGCCGGCAACGCAUCAUUCAAAUUUCUGCCCUAUCAACUUUCAAUGGUAGGAUAGUGGCCUACCAUGGUGGUGAAGGGUGACGGAGAAUUAGGGUUCGAUUCCAGAGAGGGAGCCUGAGAAACGGCUACCACAUCCAANNNNNNNNNNNNNNNNNNNNNNNNNNNNNNNNNNNNNNNNNNNNNNNNNNNNNNNNNNNNNNNNNNNNNNNNNNNNNNNNNNNNNNNNNNNNNNNNNNNNAUCCUAAUACUAAUCCUCAUACUCAUCCAUCUUCAUCCUCAUCCUCAUCCUCAUCCUCAUCCUCAUCCUCAUCCUUAUCCUAACCCUAUCCCUAAUCCUAAUCCUAACCCUAAUCCUAAUCCACAUCCUCAUCCUCGUCCUCAUCACCAACCUCAACCACACCCUAAUCCCAAUCCUAAUCCUAAUCCUAAUCCUAAUCUUAAUCCUAAUCCUCAUNNNNNNNNNNNNNNNNNNNNNNNNNNNNNNNNNNNNNNNNNNNNNNNNNNNNNNNNNNNNNNNNNNNNNNNNNNNNNNNNNNNNNNNNNNNNNNNNNNNNUUGAGGAAAUAUAUCCUCAAAUUCCUGCAGGAAACUUUUUACAUAAUCAGGUACAACAAUAUCAGAGUUAGUACUUAAACAUAAAUGUUGACCAAUGAGUAGGUAAAGGGGUUGCCUAUAUGUUAAAGCACCCUUUACUUCC